rnacentral:lncRNA from 13 species
CCCCAAUGUUCUGCUGUACUGCAGCUGCAGAGACCAUGGUGGAAUUCUAGCCUGAACACAAAAUUGAAGCAGAUGUGUUUUGGGAAGAUGACCCAUGAUGUUUUCAAAAAUUCUAUUGACCUCUGAAGAAAGAAUUGUGAGAGAGUACUCAUAAUCACAUACUGCCUGUGUAAAAAUGUUUUAAGAAUGUGAAGAAAAGAGGCAAGUCCCCUAACUGAGCCUAGUCCAUUCUGCACAUCAAAUGAGACAGGUUGAAGGAAUGAUGUGUGCCUCAAUUUUUUUUCCGUCUUGGUGUUCUUAAUCCAAUAAAUCUGGACACUCCGACAUGAGGUGGACAACAGUGGUGAAUCACCACUGGUGGCACAUUACCAAUGAGGUGUAACUCCUAUCCCAGUGCUUCUUCUGUGGGCAGCACACAGAAUGACUCAGAUCCAUGUACUCUGGGAACCUGGUGUGAAGUCACAGGACAAGAGCAAGAUCCCAGGUUGUGCUGAGAAGUGUAGAGGUCCAGUGGGAGAGAAUGGGAUGUGAGCCCCUUGUGUACUUGUUACUCUGAGAUUUUUUCAGUCUGCACACAGUGUGAUUAUGCAACCAAAUGAUGCCGUAGUUUAUAUACUUCUGGAGAGGAUGAGAAGUGAGUGAUAAUGCCUGUACAGACAGUUCUGUCAUUUCCUAAGUCUGAAUUCCAGCAGAUGCAUGGUAGAUUUAAUAAUGCUCUUUUAACAUAAUUCUUCUGUGUGUCAUUAAUUCGUAAUUUUGCAGUCUAGCUGUAAUUUGACAUGUAUUUAUUUAGUUUGCGUCAAGAGGAUGGGAACCUGCUUGUGAUUAAUGUGGUGCCUUUUGUCUUCUUCAUUCAGUGAGGAGUAUAAUUUGCCCCAAUUCUUUGUUUCUCUCUCUGCACCCAUUCCAAUACAUUGCUAUCUUUCUAGAUAUUGUAAUGUGAGAAUUAAUCCUGUAGGAACUAUUCCCUCCUUUUCUCCAAACCCUAUCUCUUCCACAGCAGGCCCUGACAAUACAGAUAGCCAAAAUAACAUAUUCAUCUUUAUAAAACUUGAUCAAAGGCUUUCAAGAAAUACAGACUGUGAGGCUAUCUGGGAAGCAGCCCAAGCCAACUGGAGACCUGCAGCGCAGCAGAAGUGGAGUAGAAG